rnacentral:rRNA from 1 species
UGUUUUCAUUAAUCAAGAACGAAAGUUAGAGGUUCGAAGGCGAUCAGAUACCGCCCUAGUUCUAACCAUAAACGAUGCCAACCAGCGAUCCGCCUGAGUUCCUCAAAUGACUCGGCGGGCAGCUUCCGGGAAACCAAAGUGUUUGGGUUCCGGGGGAAGUAUGGUUGCAAAGCUGAAACUUAAAGGAAUUGACGGAAGGGCACCACCAGGAGUGGAGCCUGCGGCUUAAUUUGA